GGGCAACACCCGUACCCAUACCGAACACGGCAGUUAAGCCCACCAGCGCCGAUGGUACUUGGACCGCAGGGUCCUGGGAGAGUAGGUCGCUGCCGGACA
rnacentral:rRNA from 1 species